AGCGUACACGGUGGAUGCCCUGGCAGUCAGAGGCGAUGAAGGACGUGCUAAUCUGCGAUAAGCGUCGGUAAGGUGAUAUGAACCGUUAUAACCGGCGAUUUCCGAAUGGGGAAACCCAGUGUGUUUCGACACACUAUCAUUAACUGAAUCCAUAGGUUAAUGAGGCGAACCGGGGGAACUGAAACAUCUAAGUACCCCGAGGAAAAGAAAUCAACCGAGAUUCCCCCAGUAGCGGCGAGCGAACGGGGAGCAGCCCAGAGCCUGAAUCAGUGUGUGUGUUAGUGGAAGCGUCUGGAAAGGCGCGCGAUACAGGGUGACAGCCCCGUACACAAAAAUGCACAUGCUGUGAGCUCGAUGAGUAGGGCGGGACACGUGGUAUCCUGUCUGAAUAUGGGGGGACCAUCCUCCAAGGCUAAAUACUCCUGACUGACCGAUAGUGAACCAGUACCGUGAGGGAAAGGCGAAAAGAACCCCGGCGAGGGGAGUGAAAAAGAACCUGAAACCGUGUACGUACAAGCAGUGGGAGCACGCUUAGGCGUGUGACUGCGUACCUUUUGUAUAAUGGGUCAGCGACUUAUAUUCUGUAGCAAGGUUAACCGAAUAGGGGAGCCGAAGGGAAACCGAGUCUUAACUGGGCGUUAAGUUGCAGGGUAUAGACCCGAAACCCGGUGAUCUAGCCAUGGGCAGGUUGAAGGUUGGGUAACACUAACUGGAGGACCGAACCGACUAAUGUUGAAAAAUUAGCGGAUGACUUGUGGCUGGGGGUGAAAGGCCAAUCAAACCGGGAGAUAGCUGGUUCUCCCCGAAAGCUAUUUAGGUAGCGCCUCGUGAAUUCAUCUCCGGGGGUAGAGCACUGUUUCGGCAAGGGGGUCAUCCCGACUUACCAACCCGAUGCAAACUGCGAAUACCGGAGAAUGUUAUCACGGGAGACACACGGCGGGUGCUAACGUCCGUCGUGAAGAGGGAAACAACCCAGACCGCCAGCUAAGGUCCCAAAGUCAUGGUUAAGUGGGAAACGAUGUGGGAAGGCCCAGACAGCCAGGAUGUUGGCUUAGAAGCAGCCAUCAUUUAAAGAAAGCGUAAUAGCUCACUGGUCGAGUCGGCCUGCGCGGAAGAUGUAACGGGGCUAAACCAUGCACCGAAGCUGCGGCAGCGACGCUUAUGCGUUGUUGGGUAGGGGAGCGUUCUGUAAGCCUGCGAAGGUGUGCUGUGAGGCAUGCUGGAGGUAUCAGAAGUGCGAAUGCUGACAUAAGUAACGAUAAAGCGGGUGAAAAGCCCGCUCGCCGGAAGACCAAGGGUUCCUGUCCAACGUUAAUCGGGGCAGGGUGAGUCGACCCCUAAGGCGAGGCCGAAAGGCGUAGUCGAUGGGAAACAGGUUAAUAUUCCUGUACUUGGUGUUACUGCGAAGGGGGGACGGAGAAGGCUAUGUUGGCCGGGCGACGGUUGUCCCGGUUUAAGCGUGUAGGCUGGUUUUCCAGGCAAAUCCGGAAAAUCAAGGCUGAGGCGUGAUGACGAGGCACUACGGUGCUGAAGCAACAAAUGCCCUGCUUCCAGGAAAAGCCUCUAAGCAUCAGGUAACAUCAAAUCGUACCCCAAACCGACACAGGUGGUCAGGUAGAGAAUACCAAGGCGCUUGAGAGAACUCGGGUGAAGGAACUAGGCAAAAUGGUGCCGUAACUUCGGGAGAAGGCACGCUGAUAUGUAGGUGAAGCGACUUGCUCGUGGAGCUGAAAUCAGUCGAAGAUACCAGCUGGCUGCAACUGUUUAUUAAAAACACAGCACUGUGCAAACACGAAAGUGGACGUAUACGGUGUGACGCCUGCCCGGUGCCGGAAGGUUAAUUGAUGGGGUUAGCGCAAGCGAAGCUCUUGAUCGAAGCCCCGGUAAACGGCGGCCGUAACUAUAACGGUCCUAAGGUAGCGAAAUUCCUUGUCGGGUAAGUUCCGACCUGCACGAAUGGCGUAAUGAUGGCCAGGCUGUCUCCACCCGAGACUCAGUGAAAUUGAACUCGCUGUGAAGAUGCAGUGUACCCGCGGCAAGACGGAAAGACCCCGUGAACCUUUACUAUAGCUUGACACUGAACAUUGAGCCUUGAUGUGUAGGAUAGGUGGGAGGCUUUGAAGUGUGGACGCCAGUCUGCAUGGAGCCGACCUUGAAAUACCACCCUUUAAUGUUUGAUGUUCUAACGUUGACCCGUAAUCCGGGUUGCGGACAGUGUCUGGUGGGUAGUUUGACUGGGGCGGUCUCCUCCUAAAGAGUAACGGAGGAGUACGAAGGUGC
rnacentral:rRNA from 1 species